CUUUGCCUGCGAUGGAUAUUU
rnacentral:piRNA from 1 species